CUGGUAUCGUACCGCAAAAAAUUGUGCUGAUGUCGUACUGUUAGCAAAUGUUGGUGGUGUAGUAGCCGUAACAAUUCCAUGUACUCUGGUUGAAA